ensembl:lncRNA
UGAUGUUCUUUUAUAGUUGGCAAUAUUUCAGGCUUCAUAUAUUAAUCCAGUUUUUCCUUUUGUUAAAAGCAAGCUGAAAAGCUUUUGUAAUAAGAUAUUAAUAAUUUUUUAGCAUCCUGGAUCAUUCAUAGAAACACUUGAAUGUGGGCUUUAAGACUUAAAAAGCGCAAUGCAAAUCUAUAUAUAAAAUUUAUCUGUUCUUUUUUGUUGUUCUGUAGAGCAGGAUCUUCCAAAAAAAAAAAAAGGUGCAUUGUGCCAAAGGGGGACUUUCAUUUUGAGCAAUAAAGAGAACAAAUAGCACUGCUUUUCACUGUUUAAUCUGCUGCCAUCCCCAGUGCAAGGAAGAGAAGAGCUCAGGCUUGUGGUGUGGGCUCAGUGAGCCGACACGAGAGGGAUCUGCAGCAGCCUCUUAGGGCUGGGAACCAGAACAACCACCCAGCACAGGAUAUGGCACCAGCAUGGAAAAACUCCUUGUGAAGCAGAGAAACUUGCUUUGGGCUCAGUAGCACACUUCUUUCUCAUGCACAGGCACUGGUGAAACCUUCAUUUUUCUCACCCGUUCUACCUCACAAUUGUUCUCCUAAAAUCACCUGCAACACCAGCUUCUCUGCUUUACCUGAUGACAGCCAUAAAGUCUCACACCAAGCUAAAGUAGCCAAUGCGAUAGCGUUAGCUAAUAUAACCGGAUCUUUUGUGGAUAUCUCGGAGGUAGCAAGGGAAAAGGUUGAAAACCUGGCCAAAAAGCUGUGUGCAGCCAGCAAGCUUAGCUCAUACAGCCAGAGAGAGAGCUAAUCAGCUCACUCAGCGAUAAACAUCCCACUCAUUUAUUCAUAGGUUCUCUGCAUGUAUGGUAGUUUUUCCACAGUUCCUUUUCUGCCCAAGUCUGGAAGCUCUGCUGCUACCAGUCCCUUAGAAGCAAUGAUGGACAGGUCAUAUUUGGUAUUGGUUUCUGUGUCUUCCACUGGGACAGUACAGUGAUCCUUUCUGCUCUUAGUGUUCACUGGAUGACAAAAGAGUCAGACUCCCAUAAUGCACACUGUGAGAUAGAGCACCAUCAUCCACUCUGGCAUUCCUGUUUUUGAUUAAAUUAAAGUUGUCAUACUGUAUUGUACAUAUUGUAUUCACUGUGGGGACUGGUGAAGCAUGCUGGACACCAAAUAAAUGCUUCCUUAUCCUGUCAAGCUUCUGGUCACAAAGUUCAGACAGGAACAUGACAUUCAAACUGGUCAAAAUGCUGUGGGUGUUUCUCAGGUGACCAGUAAAAGGAAGGAAGCUUGUCAAGAUGAGCCUUACUCCACUCAUGUGGUCAGGAUGCUCUAAACUACACGUGGAAGUCAAAGAGACAUUUAUCACCGUUUUAAUGCCUGUCUUUAAUGCCUGGCAAGAUUUUUUUAAUCAUGUUGAUGAGAGUGGGAUUUAAUGAUUUAUUUAAUAUCAACUGCUGGGAGAGACAGAGACCUCUGGUCACAGACACUAAGAACUUAAAAUCAACAUUGGUCUGUCCCAGUGGGACCUGUCUCCCUGUGAGGCCUUUCCCCCCUCACAGAGAGAAGCCUAUCUAUGGCACGAUGCCUGGACCUCUUUUGAAGCCUGAAGAUCAGCCUUGUGGGUGUUCGGGUCCCUCUGUUGCUGGAAACCUUCCAAUAAGGGCUCAGAAAUUUAUGGGCGUCUUCAGUUGUUGUUGCUUUUUGGUCACCACCAAUCUUGCAGCAACUGCAGCAUCUCGUUUUAAUAGAGCAAUGGCGCUGCCUAGAUGAAAGUACAUCUGCGUUGUGUGUUUGCUGAAGGAACUCAUUUAUAAAAACCAGCAUGUUGGUAAAUGGUAGCUAGAUCAUGAACAACAACAGCAAGACGUUGGAUCUACAAGUCAGUACAAGUUAUUUACUGUGUCCCCAUUCAUUCGCAACAAUGGGCUUGGGUGCAAGAAAACCUUGAACUUUGGCCAGAAAUCCCUUCCUUUAUUGUUAGCAGUUACAUCUGUUGCUUCUUUCUUCUAGUGCUACGCAGAUCUCCUUAAUCCCUCUAAUGUGUUCCCAAUUUAAUUAUAUUUACAUACAUGUCUAUACCCUCACUGAGAAUACCAGCCACACUCUUCAUCACAUUUCCAUGCUAUGUUAAGAUUUCAUUUGGAUAAUGUCACUUUUCUCGUGACUGAAGAAUUUGAUUUCCUGAGAGCUUUUGGAGUUUGACUUCUCCCUUUAUAUAUCCAGAGUAUUUUUUUUGUUUCUUUUUUUCUUUGUAGUUUUCUUUUCAGUCUACUAACGGAACCAAGGACAUGCACUACACACCCUCUGGCCUGCCAUGUAUAAUUUAAAUGAAGCCUCAGUCUGCAAAAUAGAAAUGAGACUGCUUUGUGUUUGAAGUGGGUGCAAGCCAUGCUCCAUGGCUGAGGGUCUUGCAGGAACUAUUGUGGAGAUGCAGGAAGUGGAAAUGAGUCAUGUCUGAAGCAAAUCCAAUUGAACCAAACAAAAUAAAAACAGAAGAAACUGAAAAAUCUUAUAGCUGAGUUAAUAGAUUUUAGUGCUUGACUUCUGUAAUCAGAUCUAAGAUCGCCUUAUGCAGACUUCUGGACAAGGCAGUCCCUCAAAUAAGCGCUGCUGGUUGCAAUCUGGUGUGCGAGAAAUGUGAUGAUUCAGUGUCCCUCAAGGAUAGCCUGUGCCUCAUUAAGAGAUAAAACCCAGAAGCCUAGCACUCAUGUUGAAUAUUCAGCCGUGCUCCGAUAUCUAAGGCACUCAGAGAAAGGCAGCGUCUCGCUGGCCCCAGUGCUGGCAGCCCUGUGCUGCUGCAGCCCAUGGUGCCAGCACCACUCUUUUCCUUGGGCUUUUUCUGUGGGAAAGGAGCUGAGGCUGGCCGAGCACCUCCAUCCAGUUUGGGCUCAGAAGUGGGUGGUUCUGUUGUGUCCCUGAGUGUCCCAAUUUGCUUCUAGUUUCUUGGGUAAGGGAGGCGUCCAGGGUCCUGCAGUGUCCUCACCCAAACCUGCACAGUAUGGCAGGGCUUCGUCCACACCCCUGUGAUUAAGUGGGCAUGCAGCCACCUCCACAGAGCCCAAUGCUAACAACUUUUCAGCAAACACAUAAUCGUAAAUAUGAGAGCAGAAUGUUUCUUAGUGUGUGUUUUUUUCGUACUUGUACAGAAAUUGAAACACAUUUCUGCCUUAAUAUUCUUAAAAUCAUGCACUUAAGAGGACUGUUUCCCUAAAAGAUACCCCACACAUCAUGCCAAGAGAAGAUUGAUACCUGGCCAUUCCACCAAACCAGUUCUGUGAAAAACUGAACACAAGGCUCAUGGUACUGAGAUGAUAUGUAACUUCAUUCAGCUUGUGGAAUUUUUCCCGUUUUCUACCACUGAGCUAAUGAGGAAAAAGUAGGUUUAUUUUAAAAUAUAUAUGUAUUACCAACCUUUUUUUUUUUCUUUUUUUUUAACAUGAAAAAUCAGCAAAUUAAGCUGCAUCCCACUCCCUUGAAGCUGAAGAAGAAACUCACAGUAUGCCCAGCUGAAAAGAAGCUAUCCUGCUUCUCUGGCUGAGCAGAUUUGUUGCAUUCAUUUACUGAGCAUAUCCACUUGAUUUAGUUGAAAUAACACUUAUAAAGUAAUAAAUGUUUAGUUUAAAAGGAGGUUAAUGAGCAAAGUUUAUUACUUACUGGAAAAUCAUUGAAAUUGAAAGCCGCAUAUAUUUACAUAAAGUAUGUGGCAUCUGAAAUAAAUCCAAAGAAUUUUGUUAUUAAUUUCCUGUGUUGUUUACAUGUGUUAGAGUUAUGUUUAUUCCAAAGGAAUCGCUCACUAGGAAUGAUAAAAAUCAAAGUGCAAACUGGUUUAUUUUUCUCUGUAACUUAUUAAUAACAGCAUCAGUUUUUUGUGUUAGAUAGAUGACGUGCAGCAGACAUUUCUCUUCAAAUAUAUACAAUAUAAGUGAGAAAAUAAAGCAAAGUGCUUUGCAGUCAAGUAACAUUUUUAUUAGAUAAAAUAAAAAUUAGUGCCUUUUCUGCAGUCUUGUAUUUUUUUUUCUAUUAAUUCCAAAAGAUAUUGAGUACAUUGCAACAGGUUUUACAGUGCAAUAUUUGCUGUAUGUUUCAUUAAGCAAAUACUUCUACAAUGAAGUGAUAAUCGAGAGCAUAAGAACAUCAAGGGUUCCUUUCUAUUUUCUCACAAACUUGGGAAUUAAAAAAAAUAAGUAUAAGGUUGCCUUAACAAAUCAAAGGCCACAGAGUUUAUAAAGUCUCCUUUCAAAGCUGGGAGGGAACACAGAUCACGUUUGUACGGCAAGUUACCGUACCUUAAAACGAUUUCUCCUUUCUCACCUUCGGUAUGAAAAUCACCCUGCAUGUACCUCAGACCAUCUCCUCUUCAUUUUGGCAAGACUGCAGAAAGCUGUUGGCUUUCACUGAGCCAGCGAUGAAGUGAAUUAAUAAUGCUCUUUUCUUAGCUCCUAGCAAUGGCUCUUAAGUCCUUACAUAGGCAGAAUUCUCCUGGAGGCAAAUGGGAGCUUUGCUGAGCACAUACAACGGUGUGGGACUCUGUGCUCCCAGCUUUACAUACAACACCAUGUUAUUGACAGCACUGCCCUGACCCAUUGCUCGCAGGCAUGGGGUGACCCAUCCAGGAGUGCCUGUGAAGCAGGCUGCUUGCAGCCGAUUCCUCGCUCUCCAUCAUCUCCGCUCCUCAGUCCAGAUGUGGGCCUGGAAAAACAAAAAGAUAGGGAGUACGUGGCCUUUCCGAGAGUGUGUACUGUGGCCUUAGAACCAACUCCUCUCUGUCUUCAUGGCAACAAAGAUAGUCUAGGAUUUAGUCCUUUGAGAACCUUGUCCUAACAAAAUAAUUAAGAUACGCUUGUGUUUUGCUAUGAAAUAUGGAAAACCGCUCCCUCAUCAUCUGCCAAACAUUUCUGAUUUUGGUGUUUGCCUUGCAACAGCUGGGAUACACUAACAACUUAAGGGUUGAGCCCUUACACCCCCCGCCUCCCCCUCCCAACCUCCAUACACAAUCACUUUAAAUGCAAGCAGUCCCUCUUCUACUGGGGACUGCCAAGGGUUCCAGCUUCUGCGCAUGCAAUGGGGGACUGGGUAUGCAUGAAAUGGGGGACUGGGGGUGUAUGCAGUGGGGAACUGGGGGCUGCCCCCCCACCCCACAGUGGCUGCUGAGCACAUCCCUACCAUCUCUGCACGUUAAGCAAUGGUUCCCAUCCCACAUCACAGCAACCUUCACACCAGAGACACAGGGGCCAGGAUCCCAUGGGGGCUGCAUGUGCCCCCGAAGUGGUGCCUGUGAGACCCUUCUGCAAAGGGAGCAGGCUCCUCGCUUCCAACCCGACUGCCCUCUGGACCCAGUUCUGCUGUGGGAGGUUUAGCACUUACUUAAUGAGGACUAUGUGUGUGCAUACAUAUGGAUGUGUGUAUAUCUGUCUACACAUACACACAAUAUAAAUUAACUAAACAUGUUACUAGGAUACAUCAGGAAAACCACAUCCAAACAAAGAGUCCAAUAUGGAAAAAGCUAUUAAAAGAUCCCAGUGUUUGAGCAUGUUAUGUACAGGGAUAAAUAUGAUCACUGGAUACCAAUCCUACAUUUUGUUCUUCUCCUGCUGGCAUUUUUAAGAGGUGCUGUCCUCUAAAGGGCAAGGGGAAGAUUUCCAAUCACAGAGUAAAUCCGAUCUUCACAAAUAACACAUGGCUCAUAAUUAAAUUUCUCACCUCGAGAGUGAGGAUCAUUGUUAAAAUAGAGUUUGGGAACCACCACUGGGGCUUUUUAUAGAGGCCUGAAUGGGUUCCUGAGCUCGACCCUUGGAGCCUUUAGAGAAGUGGUGGAAGGGGUCGUACAAUCCUAGAAUCAUAGAAUUAAGGUUGGAAUCCUAGAAUCCAAUCAUUAAGGUUGGAAGGACCACAAAGAUCAUGUAGUCCAACCACCAUCCCACCACCACCAUGCCCACUGAACCGAGUCCCUCAGUGCUCUGUGUGCCCAAAUGUUCACAGUGCCCUCACAUUAAUUAACUACUGAAAAACAAGGAUAAGUGUGGACUUCUCACUCUCCUUUUCAUCACAGCUUUCUUGUAAGCUGCCCAGUUAGCCUAAAGAUUUUUCCUCCUUCCCAGCUGUCACUGCACUUUGAAUGCAAGGACACAGCUUGCUGCAGGUGUGUGCCAGCCAGGGCAGAGGUCUCUCAGGAAGGAGGAGUGCCUGCAGACGUCCAUAUGGCCAAAGAAGUGAACUGGAUAAGCUUUCCCUGUGGCAGUUACCUGUUCGGGUCUUGUAAAGAUCUAUGAAGUAAUGGUCUGUUUUUUGAAUGCCCUCUCCUCUCCCCUACAACUUCUCCUGAGUUCUGUACCCUGCAAAUAAUGCUGUAAAGACAGAAAAUCAGCCACACUGCCUGAGUUAAAACCUCAAAAGUCAGUGGUGGUUUGGACAGCAAAAGCAGAAAAACUGAGCAGUUACAUCAAAAUGUGCCUCCGAAGGAGACUCUUAGGGGCAAGGAACAUAGGUUGAUAGCUGCCCCUGGGUGGCUCCUGAUCCAUCACACGUGCCUUUAAACGAUGGGUUGGUGAGGAGCUGCACAGCCACCUCUUGGCAUCUCCUCAAUACUCCAUCUCCCGAGGCAAAGCUGAAGGUCCCAGCCCCAGGGAGUGUCACAAAACGCUAAUUUAAAUGGCACUGAUCACGUGACCAGAAGGCUCAGAUUUGCUUCUAGCAAUGAUUUUCCAAACUGGAGUUCCCCUCCUCUCCUUUGAAGUCAGUAAGAAACCUCCCAUUGGGUUUAGUACAAACAGAAUCAGCCCUCGCUGAAGACUGUAGUGAAGCAGAGGAAAACAUUUUUCCUGUUAAAAGAUUUUCCUAUUACUAUAGACACAUAAAAGUCUUCUCAAAGCUAUAAUGUUAAAUAUUUUAAUGUCCUGCCAAGCCUCAUCAAUUCUCAUUGUUCAACAAAAAUGGCACAGACAUUAUGCUAGCGAUGGCAUUUUCUGCAUAUUAAGAUCAAUAAUGUGCUUUGCAAGGAAUAAAGGGCUGGUUAAUGAGAAAAGCCUUUUAAAACUCAAGACAAUUCCAACUGCUAUGAAUGAUUACAAAUUGUGUGGUUGAAUUAAUAGGGGGUGGGGAUGGGAGGGAUUAAGGCCCUGGGCACACAGUGCUGUGCUUCCUCUUCCCUUUUUUUAACCAGGAACUGAACCUCCCCACAACACCCUCCUUCACUCAGCUCUGUGUAUUCUAGGAAACAUCAGCAUGGCUGCCAGCACAGGGAGCUGAGACUUCCAUUUCAGCACCAUCACUGGACUCUUAAAAUAUUUAUAGGAAUGAAUGGCUUUGACAGGCUGCACUGACAUGCACAGAAGGAAGACGUGGUUCAGGCUGCUUUAAAAUGUCUCUUAUUGGAGCCCACGCUCCAUUCCUUAUUCAAGCAGAAGUCCCAGUAGCCCCAGCAGAAGGAGGUGCUUGGGGUUGUGCCUUUGGGUUCUUCCACACUGAGCAGUACAGAUGGGCUAUGGGGCUCCAGCAGUAUGCUCAUGCCAGCAGUGCCCAUCCCGUGCCCGCUCUGUCCUGGUGCCUCUGAGGUAUCGCGCCUCCUGCUCCCACCACUCUGUCCCCACUGUGCUGCAGUGCCACCACACUGCUUUCAGAGCCCGCCUGCACGAGCGUGUCUCGCACAUGCGUGGCCCUGCAGCCCCUCGGGAGGAGGAAUGCUUUGUCUGUGCAUCCGGAUGGGGUUAGGUGUGAGAUAUGCACUCAGCCCUGUCAGGAGCAAAAGGCUUCCAGCGCAUGUGUGCAGCAGAGCUUCAGGCACCUCAGAGCCUUCCCUGGUGCUGAGGACUGCAUGGUAAAAACAACAUGAAAGAGAGAGUUUGCAUUCAAACACCAGAUUUCCACCUAAUCCCCAGUGAUGGCACGUCUGUGAUCUGGACUUGUGUCUCAGUUACGUCAUAGGAGUUCUCUGGGUGUAGACGACGUGAAGCAUUGCAGUGACCCUUACAAAGUACUGUGUCUCAGAAUCAUCACAACAUCUAAGUUUUCCUCAAGAUUCACUGCGGCAGAGAGAAAUGAGCACACACACAUCAAUAUGCAGUACGUACCACUGCACACAGCGGUGCGUAAAUGGGUGCACAGACACCUCCUGCUCUAUGCCUAUAAUUCUCCUAAACAUUGUGGGGUGAAGGAAUGAAAAAGUUUCUGAAGAAUGGUAGAAAUUUGUCGUCGUUAGGAUAUAGCACAAACUCCUGGUUCCACCCUAAACAGAAACUUCCUUUAAUUUCUUAACGAAAAUGUUUAGAAGACCGGUUUCUUGAAUGCUCAUGCAGAGCCGAAUGGUCUUAAUUUCACUUCCUGCCUCCACUCUCAGACAGUGCAAAGCCUGAAAAUCUUCCUUGGUCUCCCAUCACAGCCCAUCUCGCAUCCCGCUGCGUCUCCGGCCCCGGAGAGCCCCGGGGCCACCCGCAAUGGCCGAGCAGGAGGGCGGCGGGGGGACGUGGGCCCCGACGUUUGCCGGCCGGGCUGAGCAGCGGGCUGGCGGGGCCGGUGGCUGCCAGCAGGUGAGGUGCCGCUUGCAAGGCUGCCUCGGAGAGGGAUGUUGGACCGGUGCCCGGGUUGCGCGGCAAAGUGGCAGAAGACGAGUUAAGUCUGGAGAGGCCCCAAAAGAUAAUUGAAACCACCCCUGGAUGACAAUGGCUAUUAACUCGCAGCUCGUCCUCGCGUCCCAUGGAGGAGCAAAGGCAGCGGGCGGCUCCCCGGGAUGGCUUCGGGACGCCGCGGGUGCGCAGCCCGCCCGGAGCUCCCGAGUGCUUCUGCUGCCCCGCGUCCGGGGGGCUCGGGCUGCCGGGCGGAGGGCAGGGAGCACCAGGAAACGUGGCUUGACAGACGGGCUCGCGAGCCGCCCAUGUGCGCUCCACAUUGCUAUCGCGUGCCCUUUGAUGUCGGGUUCGGCUCAUGGGAAGGCGCGGGGCCGGAUCCUCACCCGGUGACGGCCGCUGCCAGCCCCGAGCACCGCACCGCACCGCAGCCCCGCUCUGGGCAGACACUCCUGCAGCGCGCACAGGGCGCUUUUCCAUUUCUUCCUUUUCUUCCUUUUUUUCCUUUUUUUCCUUUUCUUCCUUUUUUUUUUUUCCUUUUCCCUGUUUGCCUUUUUAUUUUCACGCUUUUCCUCUCUUUAGUUUUGCUUUUCUUUUUUCUUUUUCCUUCUUUUUCUUUUCCUUUUUCUAUUACUUUCCCUUUUUCUUUCUUGCUCUUUUCCUCCUUUUUCUCCUUCGUCUUUUCCUUUCCCUCCUUUUCUGCUUUUACCUCUACAUUAUCUCCUUUCUUUCUUUUUCGCCUUCUUUUUCUUUUUCCACUUUUCUCAUUUUUUUCCUCCUUUUUCUUUUAUUUUCUUUUUGUUCCUUCUUUUUUUUUCCUUUUUUUUUCUUUCCUAUUUUCUUUUUUCCCCAUUUUUUCCUCUUUGUUUUUCCUUCUUUUCUUUUUUUCUUUCUUCCACUGCCCCCCA